CUUGGUCAUUUAGAGGAAGUAAAAGUCGUAACAAGGUUUCCGUAGGUGAACCUGCGGAAGGAUCAUUACCGAGUGCAGGUCUGCCCCCGGGCAGGCCUAACCUCCCACCCGUGAAUACCUGACCAACGUUGCUUCGGCGGUGCGCCCCCCCCGGGGGUAGCCGCCGGAGACCACACCGAACCUCCUGUCUUUAGUGUUGUCUGAGCUUGAUAGCAAACCUAUUAAAACUUUCAACAAUGGAUCUCUUGGUUCCGGCAUCGAUGAAGAACGCAGCGAACUGCGAUAAGUAAUGUGGAUUGCAGAAUUCAGUGAAUCAUCGAAUCUUUGAACGCACAUUGCGCCCGCCAGUAUUCUGGCGGGCAUGCCUGUUCGAGCGUCAUUUCAACCAUCAAGCCCCCGGCUUGUGUUGGGGACCUGCGGCUGCCGCAGGCCCUGAAAUGCAGUGGCGGGCUCGCUGUCACUCCGAGCGUAGUAGUUACAUCUCGCUCUGGGCGUGCUGCGGGUUCCGGCCGUUAAAAAGCCUUACUUACCCAAAGGUUGACCUCGGAUCAGGUAGGAAGACCCGCUGAACUUAAGCAUAUCAAUAAGCGGAGGA
rnacentral:misc_RNA from 1 species